CCCUACUAAAGCAGAAAGGUUUUUGAAAUUCCUUUUGUGCUUUCUCUUUGUCAAAAAAGAACAAAAUCCCUAAACAUAAGCGUUUCUCCUCAACUGUGUAUAUAGCUAAAACCCCUUUCUUUUCAGUUCCCAUUUAAACCCUAAAUUCCUAAUAGCAAAAUCUAAGCAACAAAGCAAUGGCAGAGGGGGCAGGAGAAGAAAAGAAGAAAUUUUCAAUCUGGGAUUUGCCAGAUGUGCAAAUGGGUCAACUUCCGCCGCAUCUUGAACUCCAACGAAGUCGUGUUUCAUGCAAUAAGGACGCCCCUAUCCAUGGUCUUACAUGGUUAACUGGUCUCCAAAGUUACAGACUGCUGUUUCUGACUUGACGGAGAAAGCAUUUCUCAAACACCCCAAGGUGUUUUUAAGUGGUCCAAAACUUGUAGGAUAUGAGUGAAAGAGUGAGGCAAAAAUGUUCACAUAGUGAGGAAAAAUAUCAGACAAACAUUAGUUUGGAGACACUCGAUAGUGGAUGUUUGAAUUCAGCUACAGUUUGUGGAGUUGAUUGGACAACCUUGCCUGAUGAUACAGUUAUUCAACUCUUCUCUUAUUUGAAUUAUCGAGAUCGAGCUAGUUUGGCAUCAACUUGUCGAACAUUUAGGCUCUUAGGUUCUUUGCUCUGUUUAUGGGGGUCACUGGACCUCCGAUCUUACAAAUUUGAUACUGUAGCUGCAGUCUCACUCUCCUUGCGAUGCAAGAAUCUCCAGAGACUUAAAUUUCCUGCAGCAGGCUCAGCAGAUGCAAUAGUUAGUCUUCAAGCAAGGGAACUUCGAGAAAUAAGUGGUGAUUUUUGUCGUGACAUUACCGAUGCUGCACUUUCUGUGUUUGUCAUAAGUUCUUUAAGCACACCUUUAUCCAAUACUGGUUCUGCUGUAAUGAACUGGAUUUUGAGAGUUAGUUGCCUAUUAUUUCCCAUAUACUUUUAACUGUGUGUGAUCUGUUUUACUCAUUUCAGUUAUAUCAGGAAGUGCAUGAAAAAGUCAGAGAUGCCGUAAUUGCCUUUAUUGAUAAAGAACGUGAGGGAGAACAGAUAGACCGAGCAUUAUUGAAGAAUGUAUUGGGUAUUUUUUUUGAGAUUGGCAUGGGACAAAUGGAUCGUUAUGAGGAUGAUUUUGAAGAAGCCAUGCUUCAGGAUACUUUAUUACCAAGAUUUCCUUGAUUAAGUAAAUGUAUUAUAUCUUUUAUUACCAAGAUUUACUUGAUUAAGAAAAUGCAUUGUAUAUUUUAUUACCUUGCAUAUGUAUUAUUUAUUUUAGUUUUGAUUCUAAAUUUUUAUUUUUA